UACGAGAGGCCCAAACGUUAUUCGGAAUUACUGGGCUUAAAGAGUUCGUAGGCGGCGCAGAAAGUAGGGUGUGAAAGCCCUCGGCUUAACCGAGGAAUUGCGCCCUAAACUACCGUGCUUGAGGAACCUAGAGGUGAGCAGAACAGAUGGUGGAGCGGUGAAAUGCGUUGAUAUCAUCUGGAAUACCGGAGGCGAAGGCGGCUCACUGGGGGUUUUCUGACGCUGAGGAACGAAAGCCAGGGUAGCGAACGGG
rnacentral:rRNA from 1 species